rnacentral:rRNA from 1 species
UACGUAGGGAGCAAGCGUUGUCCGGAAUCAUUGGGCGUAAAGCGCGCGUAGGUGGCCCCAUAAGUCCGCUGUGAAAGUCAAAGGCUCAACCUUUGAAAGCCGGUGGAUACUGUGGGACUAGAGUACGGAAGAGGCGAGUGGAAUUCCUGGUGUAGCGGUGGAAUGCGCAGAUAUCAGGAGGAACACCAAUAGCGAAGGGCAGCUCGCUGGGACGUUACUGACGCUGAGGCGCGAAGCUAGGGGAGCAAACGGG